AAUAUGGAGAGUUUGAUCCUGGCUCAGGACGAACGCUGGCGGCGUGCCUAAUACAUGCAAGUCGAGCGGAGUUAAUCCUUCGGGGUUG
rnacentral:rRNA from 1 species